CCCCUCUCAGUGUCACGCCUGGAGAGUUUCCAGUACUCGACGAGUCAUGACUAUAGGAGGGAGAGUCAAGCAGAGGCAUAUCCAUUCCAUUCCUAGCUUGGGCAGUGGCUAGCGAGUGGAAGGCAAUCUGUUACGAGG